GUCCUAUCAUGUUGAAACACUGGUUCUGGUCAGAUGACCAAAGUUAAGCAACAUUGAGCCUUGUCGGUACUUGGAUUGGUAACCACUGGGGAAUAGCAGGUACUGUAAG